GAUGAACGCUAGCGGCAGGCCUAAUACAUGCAAGUCGAACGGUGUCUACGGACAUAGUGGCGCACGGGUGCGUAACACGUAUGCAACCUACCUUACAUUGGGGGAUAGCCUUUCGAAAGGGAGAUUAAUACCGCAUAAGACAGUAGCUGGGCAUCCAGCAGCUGUUAAAGAUUUAUCGAUGUAAGUUGGGCAUGCGACCAAUUAGCUAGUUGGUGAGGUAACGGCUCACCAAGGCAAUGAUUGGUAGGGGAACUGAGAGGUCAAUCCCCCACACUGGCACUGGGAUACGGGCCAGGCUCAUACGGGAGGCAGCGGUAGGGAAUAUUGGGCAAUGGACGCAAGUCUCACCCAGCCAUGCCGCGUGCAGGAUGAAGGCGUUAUGCGUUGUAAACUGCUUUUAUACAGGAAGAAACGACUCUUGCGAGAGGCAUUGACGGUACUGUAUGAAUAAGCACCGGCUAACUCCGUGCCAGCCGCCGCCGUAAUAC
rnacentral:rRNA from 1 species